GGAAGUAUAGGCUCAAGGNGGCUAACAAAGAGAUCAUAACAGGGUAGGCUAUCUGGCUAUAGAGGCUNAAUCAACAAAAUGCCUUUAUCAUUUUCAAACAUGCUCAUGAAUCAAGAAUUAUCAAUAGAGUCAAGCCAAGGCAAAUGUGCAAGCAAUCCAGAGACAUAUCACACACAAGAAAGAUCAUCAAAUGGCUCAAAUCUCACACAGGUAAUCGGUC
rnacentral:lncRNA from 1 species